rnacentral:rRNA from 1 species
UACGUAGGUGGCAAGCGUUGUCCGGAAUUACUGGGUGUAAAGCGUGUGUAGGCGGGAGGCCAAGUCUGCUGUGAAAUCGCCCGGCUCAACUGGGCGGGGUCGGUGGAAACUGGUCACCUGGAGGACGGUAGAGGCGAGUGGAGUUCCCGGUGUAGUGGUGAAAUGCGUAGAGAUCGGGAGGAACACCAGUGGCGAAGGCGGCCGGCUGGGCCAUACCUGACGCUGAGGCGCGAAAGCGUGGGGAGCGAACCGG